rnacentral:rRNA from 1 species
CUAUCAGGUAGUUGGUGAGGUAACGGCUCACCAAGCCGACGACGGGUAGGGGGCGUGAGAGCGUGGCCCCCCACACGGGAACUGAGACACGGUCCCGACGCCUACGGGCGGCAGCAGUGAGGAAUCUUGCCCAAUGGGGGAAACCCUGAGGCAGCGACACCGCGUGCGGGAUGAAGGCCUUCGGGUCGUAAACCGCUUUUCUGGGGGACGAGUAAGGACGGUACUCCAGGAAUAAGUCCCGGCUAACUACGUGCCAGCAGCCGCGGUAAAACGUAGGGGGCGAGCGUUAUCCGGAAUCACUGGGCGUAAAGGGCGUCUAGGCGGCAGCCUAAGUCCCGUGUGAAAGCUCCCGGCUCAACUGGGAGAGGGCAUGGGAGACUGGGCAGCUAGAGACUCGGAGGGGGGUGUGGAAUUCCCGGUGGAGUGGUGGAAUGCGUUGAGAUCGGGAGGAACACCAGUAGCGAAGGCGGCACCCUGGCCGAGAUCUGACGCUGAAGCGCGAGAGCGUGGGGAGCGAACGGGAUUAGAUACCCCGGUAGUCCACGCCGUAAACGAUGACAACUAGGUGUUGGGUGUCCAAGGAUGCUCAGUACCGCAGCAAACGCGAUAA